UACGUAGGGUGCAAGCGUUAAUCGGAAUUACUGGGCGUAAAGCGUGCGCAGGCGGUUAUGCAAGACAGAUGUGAAAUCCCCGGGCUCAACCUGGGAACUGCAUUUGUGACUGCAUAGCUAGAGUACGGUAGAGGGGGAUGGAAUUCCGCGUGUAGCAGUGAAAUGCGUAGAUAUGCGGAGGAACACCGAUGGCGAAGGCAAUCCCCUGGGCCUGUACUGACGCUCAUGCACGAAAGCGUGGGGAGCAAACAGG
rnacentral:rRNA from 1 species